rnacentral:lncRNA from 1 species
CCCUUCAAUAAAGCAAAAAUAUAUUGCAUCGGAUAUGAGCAUUGCAGAGUAGAAGCAUCCAGCAUCACCUACAAAAUACAAAUCACCAAGUAUUAGAAAAUGAUAAAUCUGAAAGUUGCAAUCAUAGUCAAAUUAAAAACAACGGAAGUUAAUGUCGCCCUAUAAUCUCUCUUCUUCUCCAUGUCAGUGAAAAAUCAACAUGUCAAGAAUAAGAGUGAGAGGCAAACGAAAGGCAAUGUGCAAUACAUCAUGAUUGGCUAAAACAUCGACUACUGCCCUCCGAUGUGCCUCCCUGUACAAAACUCAAAUCUCCAGCGGCUGCCGCACACUGAAGCGUUUAGGCCGAGUUGUGUAAGGAGUGGACUACUACAUCGUCACCAUCCCCAACAAAGGAAAGCAAAGCGACGUACCAAGUAUCCAUGGUCCACGAAAGAAGAGGCAACAUGUCCGCGCCGCCGGCCCGGCCUCGCUGUUCCUUCCCCCAUUGCCAGCCCCCCUGCUCCUUUACUCCAACCAUGAAGGAUCCAGCUAACAACGGAAAAACAAUUAGUUGGAGUGCAGAAUCUGCAUAGAAUAACGGAACACAUCAAUCUAGUCAUCUAGCUAGCUUCUGCCAUCAGGGUUGCUUGCUAAUUGCAACGAUAUUCGUAAUUGAAGAUUCAAUGAGAACUACCAAGAGAUAAAAAAAGAAAGCUGAAUCUGUUCACUCAAUGUGUGCAUGGCCUAUAAUGUCCUCACAUAUGAGUAAUUCAUCAAAGAAGCCCUAAAAAAACCUUCAAACAAAAAACACAAAUGAAAGGCAAGCUUACCUGAAUGGGGAUGGCCCAUGACCUGGAUCUCCUAGUCCACGCGCUGGUGAUCUGCUGCUACUUGAACAGCAACUCUGCCUGCUGACGCUGCCCAAACUGUGCAAGUUUCUCCAUAGUUUCCUUGCAAUUGUUAAGAUCAAAAUCAGCAGCUUUUGCAACUAAUGCAGAGUGUGAGUUUCUCUGCAGACAAAAAAGGCUUUGCAGAUUCAGUAUAGUUGACACAAACAAAAUGCAUUACCUGCUUUCCUCAAGAACCCAUGACUGAAAGAUGUGGAGAGAAAAUUGCAAAGUAUGAGCCUUAGUACUUAGGUAUCACAGAGAUUCAAUGGAAUUUCAACAAAACCAGGGCUUGCUUUUCACACUAUUGAACGUUCACGUAUUUCAUAUUUGAUCCACCUUUCAGCUGGGCAAAACAACAAACAGAUGGGGGCACAAUAUCUAUUUAUUCUCAGAAAAGAAAUUACCAAAUAUCUGGCCACGAGGGCGUGCGUAAGAGGACAGAGGAGAGAGCGCACGUGACAGCGAGAAAAGAUGUAGGCGAGGACGCGGGGACUGAUCUCUCGGGUGGAUGGAUUGGACGGCAGCGCGAAAGCCGGAUGGAGUCGGCCGUCUCUGCGACCCACGCUCCUCCUACCGACGGCGGCGACGUGGACCACCGCUGUUCCUCGAGCUCCUCCCGAGGUCGCCGCCGCACGCGUAGAGAUGGAGGCGGGGUGCAGCCUCCCGUGCAUCAUGCCCGAGCCUCGAGCUCCUCACAGCUCCCGAUUCAGGAAUAGAUCGAGCCGCCGCCAACCACAAGGCCGCGCCCGACCUCGCCAGCGCAGGCCGACGCCAGCCGGUGACCAUCUCCCGUAAGCCGCCACACCUCCCUCUCAUCUUUCCUCUCCCUUUCUCCCGCCUCUCCUCUCCUUCCUUCUCUGCUAGGGUUCAUGAGGAAGGAGGGGGAGGGGGUUGGGAGGCUACGGCGGGGGCUAGGGAUGACGAGACGCCGCCGCGCAUGAAGAGGAGAGGAGGCGGCGCGGAGGGAGAGAGGAAGGAGAGGAGGAGGCGAAGAGGGAGAGAGAGGAAGGAGAGGAGGCGGCGCGGAUAUUUUCUCGGGCUUGACUCGGUCCACCCAUGAUGGAUGCUCUGGCAACUGACGAUCACCGCUGCCCUUUUCCACCCAGACACAAAUACGAACACAGGGCGUGACUGCAAGACGGACUCACGCUAGAGGCUGGCCCAGCCGUCAGCCGCUCUAGCCCGAGUAGACAGCGUACAGAAAAAUGAAUGCACGGAUGUUUACCACGGCGAUGGAAAGUACGCUGGCGUCGGCCAGCGAGGCAUAUCGAGCGAGCCGGAUGAAUUUGAACCAGCGAUGGCGCUAGAACGGCGGGUUGCGUAGCUUGAUUUAUAUGUUCAAUGUUCAAUGCCCGCCGGUUUAGAAGCUAGAAUGUAAGGAGCCCGCUUUCUCGUGACGGUCUUACCUCCCUUCACAUGGUAAUAUGGCCUUGCAAUCUCUCAAAUGGUUGGUUGCAGCUUUGAGUAAUAUAUACAUAUGGGGAUCCCCUAGCCGCGAUGAUUCCUCAGAAAAAAGCCUAGUCGGUGGUGUUGAAAUGAUGUAAUUUUUUACAAGAAUUGUUUUUCAAUCUUGUAUAUAUAGAUGUUAUUCUUGUGUAUCAGCUGACUACGGUCAUCAGCCAAUCUGGAACGCUUACAAGAAAAGAAACCAAUGGAGCUUGGCGCCAACAGGCUGUAAUUGCUUACUAGAGAAUUUAAUUAUGUGCACAUUUGGUUGACGAGCAUGUGAUUGUUUACUGCGGCUACACUUGUCACAGUUUUUAUGAGGCUAGCAUUGUUUUUAUUUUACAAUGACUGAUUUUAGUAAAUAGUGGGAUGUUUUUAUCAGGCUAAUGAAUGCAUCCAUUUAUUUUAAAAGUAAAACAAAGCUAAAUGUGACCUACAGACAGUAGAUUUGACCAUGAAUGGAGAGACAUUAACUAUCUUUUCUUCUAGGAUAAUUUCCAUAUUCGGUGGUUAUUAGUAUUUUUUUAGUACUUACAUUGUUCUAUCUCAAUACAAAGUUCUCCCCCUUUCUUGUGGAGAUCUAUUCGAUGUAAUCUUCUUUUGCGGUGCGUUUGUUGAGACCGAUGAAUUGUGGGUUUAUGAUCAAGUUUAUCUAUGAACAAUAUUUGAAUCUUCUCUGAAUUCUUUUAUGUAUGAUUGGUUAUCUUUGCAAGUCUCUUCAAAUUAUCAGUUUGGUUUGGCCUACUAGAUUAAUCUUUCUUGCAAUGGGAGAAGUGCUUAGCUUUGAGUUCAAUCUUGCGGUGUCCUUUCCCAGUGACAGUAGGGGCGGCAAGGCACGUAUUAUAUUGUUGCCAUCGAGGAUAACAAGAUGGGGUUUAUAUCAUAUUGCAUGAGUUUAUCCCUCUACAUCAUGUCAUCUUGCUUAAAGCGUUACUCUGUUCUCUUGAACUUAAUACUCUAGAUGCAUGCUGAUAGCGGUCGAUGUGUGGAGUAAUAGUAGUAGAUGCAGGCAUGAGUUGGUCUACUUGUUUCGGACGUGAUACCUAUAUACAUGAUCAUACCUAGAUAUUCUCAUAACUAUGCUCAAUUCUGUCAAUUGCUCAACAGUAAUUUGUUCACCCACCAUAAAUACUUAUGCUCUUGAGAGAAGCCACUAGUGAAACCUAUGCCCCCCGGGUCUAUCUUCCAUCAUAUUAAUCUUCCAAUACUUAGUUAUUUCCUUUGCCAUUUAUUUUACUUGCAUCUUUUAUUUCUCUUUAUCAUAAAAAUACCAAAAAUAUUAUCCUAUCAUAUCUAUCAGAUCUCACUCUCGUAAGUGACCGUGUAGGGAUUGACAACCCCUUAUCGCGUUGGUUGUGAGGAUUUAUUUGUUUGUGUAGGUGCGGGGGACUCGUGCGUGGCCCCCUACUGGAUUGAUACCUUGGUUCUCAAAAACUGAGGGAAAUACUUACGCUACUUUGCUGCAUCACCCUUUCCUCUUCAAGGGAAAACCAAUGCAGUGCUCAAGAGGUAGCAUUGUGAAUUGAGUUUUUCUUUUGAAAUUUUGUUUUAUCGGAUUGAUACUUUUAUGGAUUUGAGAACACUUGAUGUAUGUCUUGCUAUGAAUACCCGUGGUGACAAUGGGGUACCAUAUUGAUUCACUUGAUAUGUGUUUUGGCACUCAACUCGCGGAUUCACGAUGUGACAUUAGGGUAAUCUAUGCAUAGGGUUUGAUGCACUUUCUCGUCUUUGUUUCUCCGACAGAAAUGUUGGGGCACUUUUUGAGAUUCUUUGUGUUGGAUUGAGUAUUAUGAAUCUGAAAUUGUUUUAUGCAUAUCAUAUAAUCAACUCACAGAUACUCGCGGUGACAUUGAAGUAUCUUAAUGAUAUUAGAGUUGGUUGAUGUGUAUCAUAUGGUGUUAUUUUAGUAUGAACUCUUUGUUAGAUUUUGGACAAAUUUGGCUUAUUAUGCUAUUCUUUAGGCCAUAUAUAUAAUCCUAAGUAAAAAUGACAUAAAUAAACGAGCCGUGUCGUGCCGGCCUACGUGCCCAGCCUCCAUGUCCAGGCACGGAUCCUAGCAUGCCACGUGCCGGGCACAACCAGUUUAGCCUGUGUCGAGACGUGGCUGGGUCGUGUUGUGCAUGCAUGCUGCCGGGCCGACCCAGUUAGCAUGCCCCGUUAAGCCAGCUUUGCAGUAGAGUAUGGUCCAGAAGGAGAGCUCCUAUACAGCGCUUCAGACGCCCGUUCGCGGAAGGGGCGCUCACGUAGCCGUGAAUUGGGCCGCCCCAAAGGGUGCUUGCUCGCUUGACACUCAUUCGAUGUUGGUCGCUGCUGAUUUUCUUUAGGUAGGUUCGCUGUUGACUGGUCAGGUUGACCGGUCAUCCGUUGAAUUAUCAAUCAUUGACUUUAGUAAAAAAAUUGAAAAAGUGAAAAAAUCAUAAAUUUCAAAAUGUUCAUGGAUUUUGAAAAAAGUUCAUGGAUUUAAAAAAAGUCAUCAAUUUUGAAAAAAGUUCAUAAAAAUUGAAAAAAGUUUAUCAAAUUUGAGAAAAGAUCUUCAAAUUUGAAAAUAAGUUCAUCAAUUUUUUAAAAAAUUCAUAGAUAUUGAAAAAAGUUUGUCGAAUUUGAAAAAAGUCAUCAUUUUUUUCAAACUUUUUUCAAAAUUGAUGAGUUUUAAAAAAUAGUUCAUCAGGUUUGAAAAAAGAUCAUCAAUUUUGGAAAAGUUCACCGAUUUUUGAAGAAAUAUUUCAUAAAUUUCGAAAGAAGAUAAUUUUUAAAAAUAGUUUGUGCAUUUUCAAAAAGAAAACAAAGAAUAGAAAAGGAAAAAUAGAGAGAAAAAGAAGACCAAACACUGUGUUUUCCAAUGUUGCAUUUUAAGAAAUAAAAAACGAAUCUGUCACAUAUGACGGGUUGCCCAGUUGGUUAGAUCGAUCUGUACCAUAUUCCACCUAAAAAAAAUCUGCACCAUAUCGGAACGAGCGCGGUUCUAGUCUCGUGGGGCACAACAUUUUUGCUAUUUUAAAACGAAAAAAGAGGAGUUAAUGGACCAGCCAGUGCAGGAGGGGUGUGUGCAGGUGGGGAAGCUGCUUCGGGCGCCGAUUUGCAAAAAAAUUAUAAACUGGUGCUUGAAGCGCCAAAUAGGAUUUGUCAUCCAGGAGCUCAAGCAGGAUCUCGCGGCGAGCGGCCACAAUGAGGUGCCACUUGGGCCCAUGGACGGCAAUGAGCACGACUAAGGCCAACUCCACCGCGCGACCCUAUCUUAUCUGCCCCCGUUCGUUUGGGGUAAAACGGACGAAUAGCGCAGCCCAACGCACGGCCUCAAACGGACAAAUAUCCGGAUUCCGUCCGUUUUCGACUCAUCCCUGGCCCAAACUUGCGCUCGGUUUGGGAUGAAACGGACGCGCGCGGACGGCUUGGACGCACGCCCUUGCCCCCCUCCCCCGUGGCCCGCCUGUCGGGGACACUAGCAGUCCCUCCGCUCCCAACGCUUCCACCCUCUCUCUCUCGCCCCGCCCCGCCGCCGGCGCCGCCGCUAUUCUCCGGCCGCCUCCUCACCGCGCAGCCUCCGGCCGUCCCUACCAAACCACUUCUCGACAUGGCUGCCACCACGCCCGUGCUGUGGCCGUAGUUUUGGCCGUCGAUCGGAGGUUUGGCCGUCGACGUCUUUGCCGACCGCAGAGGGGACAGGACCACCGGCGACGCAGCACGGCGUCCUCGGCAGCUCCCGACGAGAGCUCCACAGCGACCAGUAGCCGGCCGGCAACCACCCCUGCUGCGUUGAGGUGAUCAUCGCGGCCUCUUCGCCACCACGCCUGCAAGGUGUUCGACAUUUUGCCCACAAAGGUAUGGACAGUGGAGACGAGUUUUUCUUCCAUCACUUUCUUUGUUCAUCGGACGAUUCAUCGUCGGAUGAUGAAGAUAUUGUGGUGGCUGCACUGGUCGUUCACGACCACAUUCAACGGCAGCUUCCUCGGUACAGGGGGUCAGUCCCUGGCCGUGCUCCCAACCUGAACCACAACAGGGAGAGAGGGCACGCCCUGCUCUAUGCCGAUUACUUUGCCAACACCCCGGUCUUCAAGCCGGAUAAAUUCCGUCGCCGUUUUCGAAUGGCAAGGCAUGUGUUCAAUCGUAUCCGAGAGGGAGUGGUUGCUCAUGACCCAUACUUCGAGUGCAAGACAGAUGCCCUUGGCAAGCUUGGAUUCUCCUCUUACCAUAAAUGCACCGCGGCCAUCCGCAUGCUUGCAUAUGGAAUUCCAGGCGAUCUGGUGGAUGAGUAUGUGCGUAUGAGUGAGACAAGAUGUCUGAUGUCAAUGUACAAGUUUUGCCAGGCUGUGGUCGAGGUGUUUGGCCCAGAGUACUUGAGGCAGCCAACUUCCACUGAUACAGAGAGAUUGUUGGCGACCAACGCAGCUAGAGGCUUUCCAGACAUGCUUGGCAGCAUGGAUUGUAUGCACUGGGAGUGGAAGAACUGUCCAUUUGCUUGGCAGGGCUAGUACAAAGGGCAUGUCAAGGCGUGCACUGUCAUAUUAGAAGCGGUGGCAUCACAGGAUCUUUGGAUAUGGCAUUCUUUCUUCGGCAUGGCAGGUUCUCACAAUGAUAUCAACGUGCUGCAGCGUUCUCCAGUCUUCGCGAGGCUUGCAGAAGGCCACUCCCCACCUGUCAACUUUGAGAUCAACGGUCACUAUUACAACAAGGGAUAAUAUCUAUCAGAUGGUAUAUAUCCUCAGUGGUCAACUUUUGUGAAGACAAUCUCGAAACCCCAAGGUGAGAAGAGAAAGAGAUUUGCCCAAAUGCAAGAGAGUGUUAGAAAGGAUGUGGAACAUGCUUUUGGUGUGCUUCAAUCCUGGUGGGGUAUCGUUCGAAACCUUGCACUGUCAUGGGAUGAAAGGAAGCUUUGGGAGGUGAUGACUGCUUGUGUGAUCAUGCACAACAUGAUCGUCAAGGACGAGCGUGAUGAGAGUAUCUUCGACCAAGGAUUUGACUAUCAAGGUGAAAAUAUUGAGCCCCUGCACCAAGACCCGGCCACAUUUGAACAGUUUGCUUAAUUCCACCGUGAGAUGCGUGAUUGGCAAACUCAUUUGAAUCUUCAAAAUGACUUGGUUGAGCAUGUGUGGGAUCACAUUGGCAACCAAUAGAUGUAUUGGUCCAUUUUAUGUUUAGUCAAGACAAUUUCGAUUUGGUUGUAAAAAUAUUUUAUUAAAGACAAUUUCAAUUGGGUUGUAAAACUAUUUUAAUUUUCAGACAAAUAUUUGGGUUGGAAACUAAUUUUGAUGAAAAUUUGGCCAUUUUUGGCCCUGACGGACAGGAUAGGGCAAAAGGAUGCGUCUGCGCGCUGGGCGCACGGCCACCGCAUCCCAGGACACGCCCGGACACGACCCCAAAUCGCUACCCAAACGGACAGAAUCCGAACAAAAUGGACGUCUGUUUGGGGUCACGCGGUGGAGUUGGCCUAAAAAUGUGGGUGGUUCUAGGCUUGGCCCGGCCUGCUGGGCUUUUUUUUGGUUUCAUGUACAUAUUAGCAAUGUAGUGUUUGUUGCUAGAGUGAGUUUUUGGGUCAUCAAUGAUACACCAUUCUGCAGUAGUGUUUACAACUUCUCUCCAUUAAAAAGGUAAUCUACAAAAAUCUCUGGAAUAUAAAGAUUAAACUAUGAGAAUUUAAUGAUGAACAUGGUAGGAGUCGGCCUAUAAACAUGGAGUUGGUUGGCUGAACAACUCGGAUGAGGAGCUGGAAGUCGGGGUGGCUGUUCUGAAAGUUUGAAAGCAUUGAAGAUGUUUGGCCUAGUGUCAUGUGGGCGACAAGGUUAUCCUGGUGGUUCACCAAGACUGAUUGGUGUAGGGUUCUGUAACAUGCAAAACAAAAAACAUGGUAGGAGCCGGCCUAUAGAGGUGGUUUUGGCUGGCUGAACAAGCUCAAUUUCUUCCAUCAAAAAGGUAAUCUAAAAAAUCUCAAGAAUAUCAAGAUUAAACUAUGAGAAUUUAAUGAUGAACAUGUUUGGAGCCAACCUAUAAACAUGGUGUUGGUUGGCUGAAUAACUCGGAUGAGGAGCGAGAAGUCGGGGUGGCUGUUCCGAAAGUGUUCCGAAAGUUUGGAAGCAUUGAAGAUGUUUGACCUAGUGUCAUGUGUGCGACAAGGUUAUCCUGGUGGUUCACCACGAUUGAGUGGUGUAGGGUUCUCUAACAUGCAUGUCCCUCGCCUCCAUGGGAGGUUUCCGGAUCUACUACUCCACUAUCAAUCAUGGUAUCUUCUUUUUUGCAGCGGUGAAAUACCAACUAGUAUAGUGGAAUGGGUUGUGUAUGUAGUGGGUAUGCUUUUGUUGUGUUUGUGGCGCCAUCAACGGCGAGGGUAGGCUUGGCCUCGGUUCGGUUUCAAAUGUGGUUGGCCUUGCGUGGUUUCAGUAAAAAAAAUACUCCUUUUCCCCAUGAUAUAAUAUGCGUUGGUUCUCAUUAGUCAAGCUUUGUAUAGUUUCAAAGUUAGCUAUAUCUAUAGUAUCCAACAUUUCAUCGUGAAUCUAAUGCUAGAUGUUGAUAACUUUUCUUGUAAAGUUUACCAAACUUUAUAAAGUUUGACUUUUAGAAAAUUUGAUAUAUGCUAUAUACUAGAACCACUUGGGGAGCCUCGGCGGGACCAUCCCGGGCCUUAGCCCCCUUCCAAGCUCCUUCAAUCAAUGAUGGCACUGUUAGAGAUACGACAUGCAAAUGAAACGAUGAAGAACCACUUUAUACUUAAAUUUGGAUCAAAACAUAACAGGCACUAUACUCGCCACUCAGCCUCUUCACAAUAUCUUCUUCUCAUCGAGGUCCGUAAAAUUGACUCCAGCAUCCUCAAAUAGACCAUCAGGUGUCAAUUAAAAGUAUACCCCAUCAGAACUUCGUCCUAAAAACCAUAGCUUAUCUGUCAGAUUUGGCAACAAUAUUACUUCCUCACAACCAGCAAACACACCCUUUGAUAUCCGAUAGAUAACUCUUUGCUCUUGCUAAUCUACCGGCUAAUCCUCGGGCUUCUGGGAUCAUCGAAGCUAAUUAUAGGCACGUGCUCCCGUUUAGCCCCCUCGUAAAUCUGUUUCACGCGCCGCCACUGUUAGAACGGAUGGAGUAAUAAGGCUGCUGUCAAUGCAUGGGUGCUUAGUUGAGGUGCUAAGCACAUUAAAUAGCUUAACAACUAUACUCCCCAAUGCAUAGGUGCUUAGCUUAUGGUUGCUAAGCUUGCUUCAUGUAAUGAUUUAGCAUCGUUUCUUCCUGAGGUCACCACACUCAUCUCUCUCUUCUUAAAUAACUCGCCACAUCAGAAUUUUUACCUACGUAGAAGGCUUAGCACAUGUAGAAAGUGGAGCAUUGGAAGGGGCCUAAGAGGAAAAACAGGAGAACCACCUCUAGUGCUGUUGCAUGAUCGAUUCGACCCACCAGGGGUAGCGCUAACGUUCAUACUGCACGAGUCACCCGUACAGUAUGUAUUUUCUUCUGAAAAAAGGAAAGAAAGAAAACACAGAACACACCGGGAGCAUAUAUGUUCGGGCCGUCAGAAGUGGUGCUGCUAUUCUGUAGCCGGUUUGGUGUGUUUGUGGUCCGGACGCAUAUUAAGUCUAUUUGUUUGCUACCCAAAGGCCUCUGUCCAAGUCAACGAGUGGCCAGAGCGAGGGGAGUAGUAGGGUGGGGAGUGUUUUUACUGUAAGCGAACACAAGAUUACAACAUGCAAUCAAAGUUUGCCUGACCACUGGCACAUUAAUUAUCCGUGUACCCCUGGCGCCAUUUUUAGCAACACGCGACCUUUCUUUCAUAGCAACGUGGUCCUCGUUGCACAGCGCACCAGGCUGUUGGACCUUGCAUUGCACAUGAUGGCGGCCGGUCUUGCUGAAAUCUGAGAUGGGCUCUAGGCCCAUAUUGCAAUUUCUGAAAAAUCUCUAAGGGCCCAUGUGGGUUAUAUGGCACUAGGUGUGUGGGAAGUUUAGUCCCACCUUGGAAGUGGAAGGAGAGUUGGAGUGGUUUAUAAGGGACUCUCUCCCUCAUGCUAUUGGAGCUUGAGAAGAGAUGAGGCCCUCGCGCACUCCUCCUCCGCUCGCCGCGCCGCGCCGCGGGUUGCAGGUUGCGGGAUUGAGCCGAGCCGAGCUCACUCCUAUGCUUCUUUUUGCCGGUCAGGAACGGAGAGUCUUUGACAGGUGGGGCCACGAUCUGAGACGUCGGAUCGUGGGCUACCGACUUGGACGUGGGUUCAGCCCACGUCUCUCCACGCGCGGCCGCACAUAUAUAUGUGGGGCGCUGCCAACCCUAGCCGUCACGAAACAGAACGCAUCUCCGCCUCCACGCCCACGUCGUUCCUCUGCUGCUGCUGCCGCCGGCGACUCCGUCCCGUUCACCGCGUACACGGUUGACGGGAGAGCAGGCCUCCGAAACCACGCCUCUCCGGAUCCUGUACGGGGAGAGGGGCGAUUAGGUUUUUGGGUAGCGACUACGCGACUGCUCGCUUCUGUUCAUCUACGUCCGCAUCACCUUCAUCAUCACCAUGUCGACCGACACCGACCGUGCCGCCGCUGAGAAAGCCGAGGCCGACAAGAAGGCCGCCGAGGAUGCCGCGGCUGCUGUCACCGCCACCGCCACCGCGUGGCCGAUUGGAGGGUAUACAUCGCUUAUCCCUCUCGUGUUUCUUUCUGUUAUAGCAGUACUAGCGGUAUGCGUAGAUGUCUCUACUAUAUGCGUAGUACAUGCUCUGUUAGAUCAUAAUCAGUAUGUUAUCAAUGCUGUCCAUGUCAUGCUCAUGAUUUAUUCAUGGAUUAAUUUAAUCAAAAAACUGCCUAUUUACUCAACAAUCCAAAAACCUAAUAUCUGUAGGAGUUUUUCGAAUUCUGGUUUUGCUGCUGCACUGAAACCGUCCCCGUUUACGGGAACGUACUUUAAGCGUUGGCAGACUAAAACCACCUUAUGGCUCACGGCCAUGAACGUGUUCUGGGUCGCCGGUGUGACUCCUACAGGAACGAUCGCUCCUGAACAGGAGAAGGCGUUUAAGGAGGCCACCGUGGUGUUCCUCGGGGCAGUUCUGAGCGUGAUUGGAGAUAAGCUGGUUGAUGCAUAUUUACAUAUGCGGUCUGCCAAGGACUUGUGGGAGGCGCUCGAAUCUAAGUUCGGGGCUGCCGAUGCAGGGAGCGAGAUGUAUAUUAUAGAGCAGUUCCACGAUUACAAGAUGGUUGAAAACCGUCCUGUAUUGGAGCAGGCUCAUGAGAUAAUAUGCAUUGUUAAGGAGCUUGAGCUUCUUAAGUGCGAGUUACCGGGCAAAUUUGUCGCGGGCUGCAUAAUCGCUAAGCUCCCCAAUUCCUGGAGGAACUUUGCCACCACUCUGAAACAUCAGAGGCGUGAAUUCUCUGUGGAGGAUGUCAUUGGCCAUCUGAGUGUUGAGCAGAACUCAAGGGCAAAGGACUCACACGGAAAAGGGGUCGAAGGAACUUCUGUGGCCAAUAUGGUGCAUCAGAAGAACUCCAAUUCCCACAAGCCCAGGGGAAAGAACGGUGUCCAACAGACUGCCGACUUUAAGAAGAAGGGUAAGAAGACCUUCAAGAAGAACAAGAAGGAUGAGGGCUGCUUUACUUGUGGUUCGGCUGAACAUUGGGCCAACAAGUGCCCAAACAAGUUUAAGAAGCCAGGACAGGACUCCAAGUCUGUCAACAUGAUUGUGAGCAACAAUGAGAAUGGUGCAUCUGGGUACGGUAAUUUAUUUACUGUUUUUUCAGUGUUUCAGCCUACCGAUUGGUGGGUGGAUACAGGUGCAGGUGUUCAUGUGUGUGCUGACAUUUCAUUGUUCUCUUCUUACCAGGUCACAGGCCACGGGUCCGUAUUGAUGGGGAAUGGCGCGAGUGCUUCUGUUCAUGGUGUUGUCACGGUCGAUCUGAAGUUUACUUCGGGAAGGAUCGUGCAGCUGAAGAACGUGCAGCAUGUCCCCGCCAUCAAGAAGAACCUCGUUAGUGGCUCCCUUCUAUGUAGAGAAGGGUUUAAGUUGGUAUUCGAGUCUAAUAAAUUAGUUGUUACUAAGUAUGGACUAUUUGUUGGAAAAGGUUAUGAGAGCGGAGGGAUGUUCCGCCUUUCCCUCGCAGAUUUUUGUAAUAAAGUCGUGAACCAUAUUCAUUCGAAUGUUAAUGAAUCUGAAGUUUGGCAUUCACGUCUUUGUCACAUUAGUUUUGGUGUUAUGACGCGGCUAGCCAAGUUGGAUUUAAUCCCGAGUUUCACUUUAGCCAAAGGUUCUAAGUGCCUUUCAUGUGUGCAAGCUAAGCAACCUCGCAAGCCUCAUAAGGCCGCGGAGGAGAGACACCUGGCACCAUUAGAACUCAUACAUUCUGAUCUUUGUGAGAUGAAUGGUGUGUUGACUAAAGGUGGAAAGAGAUACUUCAUGACAUUGAUAGAUGAUUCCACUAGAUAUUGCUAUGUGUAUCUGUUAAAUACUAAAGAUGAGGCUCUACACUACUUUAAAAUCUAUAAGGCAGAAGUUGAAAAUCAACUUGAAAAGAAAAUUAAACGAGUCCGGUCAGAUCGUGGUGGAGAGUACUUCUCGAGUGAGUUUGAUUCCUUCUGUGCGGAACACGGCAUUAUUCAUGAGAGGACGCCUCCCUAUUCACCCCAGUCAAACGGGGUUGCCGAGCGGAAAAACCGUACUCUAACUGAUUUGGUUAACGCCAUGUAGAUACAUCGGGUUUAUCCAAGGCAUGGUGGGGGGAGGCUAUAUUGACGGCAUGUCAUGUCCUGAAUAAAGUUCCGACAAAGGAUAGUGAGAUCACUCCCUAUGAGAAAUGGGCAAAGAGAAGGACGACACUCUCGUACUUGCUCACUUGGGGCUGUUUGGCGAAAGUCAACGUGCCGAUCCCCAAAAAGCGUAAGCUUGGACAUAAGACCGUGGACUGCAUUAAUUUGGGCUACGCUAAGAACAGCGUUGGCUAUAGAUUUCUAGUAGUGAAAUCUGAGGUACCUGACCAGAAGAUCGGUACAAUUAUGGAGUCUAAGGAUGCUACAUUCUUUGAGGAUAUUUUUCCUAUGAGAGAUAUGCAAAGCACUUCUAGACAGGAAUCUGAGGAGACUCCUGAACCUGCCAUCCCUAUGGAAUAUUAUGAACAAACACAUGAUGAAAAUCCCGAGGAGGAUGACGAGGAAACCCUUGGUAGGGGCAAGAGACAAAGGACUGCAAAGACCUUUGGUGAUGAUUUCUUCGUGUACCUCGUGGAUGAUACUCCCACUUCUAUUUCAGAAGCGUAUGCCUCUCCAGAAGCUGACUACUGGAAGGAUGCGGUCCGUAGCGAGAUGUAUUCCAUCAUGGCUAACGGGACAUGGGAGAUCACUGACUGUCCCUAUGGUUGCAAACCACUGGGAUGUAAGUGGGUGUUCAAAAAGAAGCUUAGGCCCGAUGGUACGAUUGAAAAGUACAAGGCUAGGCUUGUGGCCAAGGGCUAUGACCAGCAAGAAGAGGAAGAUUUCUUUGAUACUUAUUCACCUGUGGCUAGACUGACCACCAUUCGAGUAUUACUCUCGUUGGCGGCCUCACAUGGUCUUCUCGUCCAUCAGAUGGAUGUUAAGACGGCUUUUCUAAAUGGAGAGCUAAAGGAGGAAAUCUACAUGCAACAGCCUGAUGGCUUUGUGAUAGAUGGUCAGGAAAGAAAGGUGUGUAGGUUGAUAAAAUCUUUAUAUGGCCUGAAACAAGCACCUAAGCAAUGGCAUGAUAAGUUUAAUACAACUCUGACAUCUGUUGGUUUCGUUGUCAAUGAGGCUGAUAAAUGUGUAUACUAUCGCCAUGGUGGGGGCGAAGGAGUUAUACUGUGCUUGUAUGUUGAUGACAUACUGAUAUUCGGAACCAACCUCAAAGUCAUUGAGGAGGUUAAGUCCUUUCUGUCUCAGAACUUUGAGAUGAAGGAUCUUGGUGUGGCUGAUGUUAUCUUGAAUAUCAAGCUACUGAGAGAUAAUGAGGGUGGGAUCACACUUCUGCAAUCCCAUUAUGUUGAGAAGGUGUUGAGUCGCUUUGGAUAUUCGGACUGCACACCAUCUCAAACACCAUAUGAUCCUAGCGUGUUGAUUCGAAAGUCCAAAGGCAUGGCUAAAGAUCAAUUGAGAUACUCUCAAAUCAUUGGUUCACUGAUGUACCUAGCAAGCGCAACGAGGCCUGACAUCGCGUUUGCUGUGAGCAAACUGAGCCGGUUUGUUUCCAAACCGGGUGAUGUACAUUGGCAUGCUGUAGAAAGAGUUAUGCACUAUCUGAAAGGUACUAUGAACUAUGGACUUCACUAUACCGGAUACCCGUCGGUACUUGAAGGGUAUAGUGAUGCGAAUUGGAUCUCUGAUGCUGAUGAGAUGAAGGCCACAACUGGGUAUAUGUUUACUCUUGGAGGUGGCGCUGUUUCCUGGAAGUCUUGCAAGCAAACGAUCUUAACGAGAUCGACAAUGGAAGCAGAAUUAACGGCAUUAGACACAUCUGGUGUUGAAGCGAGAUGGCUUCGAGAUCUUUUGAUGGACUUGCCAUUGGUUGAUAAACCGGUUCCGGCUAUCCUUAUGAACUGUGACAAUCAGACUGUCAUCACCAAGGUGAAGAGUUCAAAGGACAACAUGAAGUCCACCAAACACAUAAGAAUGAGAUUAAAAGCUGUCAGAAAAUUAAGAGACUCCGGAGUGAUAGCGUUGGACUAUGUCCAUACGGCUAAGAAUCUGGCAGAUCCCUUUACAAAAGGGCUAUCACGUGUUGUGAUAGAUAACGCAUCGAGGGAGAUGGGUAUGAGACCCACAUGAGUUGCCAUGGUGGUAACCCAACCUAUAUGAUCGGAGAUCCCGUGAACUAGGACCUGGGAAAACAAGCCAGUGGUGAACUGAGGAGAGUAACUAUACUAACCUACUCCGUUGGAGAUGCAAUACUCUCGAUACUGUAUGGUAGGAUGACUACGGUCUCAAUGUGUUCCAAAGCUUAUAAAAGCAAGAUGCUAUCCUACAGAGCGAUCUUUGGAGGAACACACCUAUAUGAGCCCGACUGCUGGUCACAGUCUAUGAGAUUGGGGUGAUCUCUAGUAAGCUCAUGAAUAGGCCAGGAGUGUGACUUAUAUGCUCCACCCGAGGGGUCAGCCUUCGGCAGCCUAGUACUAGUAAGACAUGUAGUGAAACUUCUUUACGCCAAACUGACAAUUCAAGGCAUAGUCCAUUGUUCAGUUGUGAAGGAGUGUAGCCACUUGUUCUAGGUGAAGUUCAACCUUAACAGGUCUUUACUGAAACACUGGUAUAUCGAAACAGCAAUUGGAACAGAGGACACAAUGGGCCCUCGAGAUCUGGUGGGGGAUUGCUGAAAUCUGAGAUGGGCUCUAGGCCCAUAUUGCAAUUUCUGAAAAAUCUCUAAGGGCCCAUGUGGGUUAUAUGGCACUAGGUGUGUGGGAAGUUUAGUCCCACCUUGGAAGUGGAAGGAGAGUUGGAGUGGUUUAUAAGGGACUCUCUCCCUCAUGAUAUUGGAGCUUGAGAAGAGAUGAGGCCCUCGCGCACUCCUCCUCCUCCGCUCGCCUCGCCACGCCACGCCACGCCUCGUCACGACGCGCCGCGGGUUGCGGGAUUGAGCCGAGCCGAGCUCACUCCUAUGCGCUUCUUUUUGCCGGUCAGGAACGGAGAGUCUUUGACAGGUGGGGCCACGAUCUGAGACGUCGGAUCGUGGGCUACCGACUUGGACGUGGGUUCAGCCCACGUCUCUCCACGCGUGGCCGCACAUAUAUAUGUGGGGCGCUGCCAACCCUAGCCGUCACGAAACAGAACGCAUCUCCGCCUCCACGCCCACGUCGUUCCUCUGCUGCUGCUGCCGCCGGCGACUCCGUCCCGUUCACCGCGUACACGGUUGACGGGAGAGCAGGCCUCCGAAACCACGCCUCUCCGGAUCCUGUACGGGGAGAGGGGCGAUUAGGUUUUUGGGUAGCGACUACGCGACUGCUCGCUUCUGUUCAUCUACGUCCGCAUCACCUUCAUCAUCACCAUGUCGACCGACACCGACCGUGCCGCCGCUGAGAAAGCCGAGGCCGACAAGAAGGCCGCCGAGGAUGCCGCGGCUGCUGUCACCGCCACCGCCACCGCGUGGCCGAUUGGAGGGUAUACAUCGCUUAUCCCUCUCGUGUUUCUUUCUGUUGUAGCAGUACUAGCGGUAUGCGUAGAUGUCUCUACUAUAUGCGUAGUACAUGCUCUGUUAGAUCAUAAUCAGUAUGUUAUCAAUGCUGUCCAUGUCAUGCUCAUGAUUUAUUCAUGGAUUAAUUUAAUCGAAAAACUGCCUAUUUACUCAACAGGUCUCAGCAACUGCGCGCGCGAGGCCCUCCCCUCUGCACGACGGACCUGCGCUGCACCAGUCGGCCACCAACGGUCGACGAUAUGGUUCCACGGUAUGCCCACCCUUACGUAUGCUGAGCGCAGAAAAGAGUGCAUGCAUUGACCUAAGGCUCCAAAGUUUGGCUGGAUGCAUGCAUGCAUGCAUGGCAAAAUCUGGUUCGAAGUACGAGACGGAUAAUAUCUUUAACACUUGACUCAGAUGCUUCAUACACUCACAUAAAGUAUGAAUCGUACGCAUGCAUACCUACCCCUGUUAGUACUUAGUCGCCACAACAUUUUUAGAUUGGUGAAGUCACCACACUCGCUGCAUAGGCCUGAAAUAAAUCAAAAAAAUGCAAUCACUACUGCCAAGUCUAUGACUUGUACACUAAUGAAUUGGUUCCACAACAAGAAACAUAACCAUCUGACCUAUGGUUAUUAGUUCCCAUGAGAUGGAUAAUAUCUAUCAAUCUAUGCCCCCUUGUUGCAUUGCAUACCAUUAGAAGCCGUACAAUGGAUCUUCAAGUUCUAAAUGUGAACAUUUAUUAAACUAAAUCAAUAUCAUUAGAUUUGUCAUCAGAUACAAUUUUAUACAAUACUUGGUAUGGUACUAGAUCAAAAUCAUUAGAUCCAUCACCAAAUGUAAUUUCGUAUGAUAUAUAUUUAAUAUUGUAGAUGCUCACAUGUUUUCUAUGAACUUGGUAGAACCUUACAAAGUUUGACUUCAGAUAAUCUAAUGUGCACUCUAAUUCGGCAAUAAGAGAGUGAAGGGUUAGGGUAAAACCGAAACAAAUGCUGAUAUCAUGAGCACACCGUCGACCAACUGCGAAUCAAAGAGCACCACCACCAUCGUCUCGUCUCUUGAGCGUCACCAUCUCCUCGUCUCCGAGUCGAGGGCAAACGCCCCUCCCUAAGUCGUCGAGCAUUAGCCCUACAUUCCCCUUGCUCCUUUUCACUGGAGAACUUGUACCACUGCCACCCGAAGUCUUAGCGCCUAAUGGGUUCAUACUUUACCAAGACUACAUCAUGUGAUAUUUUUGCAAAAAAGUAGAGCCAUGAAAUAAGAAACAUGCAAGGAAAAAUAGACAUCAUCUCUUUCGCCAAUCCCAAAAUCUUAAGGGCACUUUUCAUAGAAUUAUCUUAAGAAGUUUCAUUCGUUUCAGAGAAUUAUUCUUGUGGUAUAUUUAUUUAUAUUGUUCCAUUACAAUAUGCAUAGCCAAAUGUUUGGUUGUGGUGUGUGUGCUCUUUCCUUACUAACACCUUGACAUUCCAAUUCAUUAUCGGAGAGUACGCGACAGAGACUACAAACACACAUAAGAUAGAAAAUCAUUUCGAGAAAUUUCUUAGCAAUUAGAGGUCCAAUUCUACCGCACGGAAGCAUGUUAGUACUUACUUAUUCAUUGUGACCAACGUACCCAUUUUUCAUGUGCUAUCAAUUUAGAGACCCCUAAAGGNNNNNNNNNNNNNNNNNNNNNNNNNNNNNNNNNNNNNNNNNNNNNNNNNNNNNNNNNNNNNNNNNNNNNNNNNNNNNNNNNNNNNNNNNNNNNNNNNNNNNNNNNNNNNNNNNNNNNNNNNNNNNNNNNNNNNNNNNNNNNNNNNNNNNNNNNNNNNNNUAUCUUUGGUGAAAUCUAACGUACAAACUAUAAUUAGGGAGGGUAAUUGCGAGUAAAUGAGGUUUUUGUUCGUUUGCUUCGUUUUCAAAUCAAGCAUGAAGACUUUGUACGGAUAUACGAGGCUAGCCCGUGGUUGGAGGCUACCCCUUAUCUUGCGCCCGAAGUCUUGACACCUAAUAGGUUCAUACUUUCCCAAGACUACAUCAUAUGAUAUUUUUGUAAAUUCAAAUAAAUAGAGCCAUGAAAUAAGAAAACAUACGAGGAAAAAUAGACAUCAUAUCUUUCGCCAAUCUUGAAAUCUUAAACGCACUUUUCAUCGAAUUAUAAUAAGAAGUUUCAUUUGUUUCAGAGAAUUAUUCUUGUGAUACAUUUCUUUAGUUUUUUUUCAUUACAAUAUGUAAUGUGUACACAUUGGAGUUAUGAGAAAUCACCAAUAUGUCCAUAGAUAUUUUUUUAUUGGAGGCCAAGGAGCACAAGAAGGAGCAUAGCCAAAUAUUUAGUUGUGGUGUGUGCUCUCUUUCCUUCCUAACACAUUGAUAUUCUAAUUCAUUAUCAGAGACUACACAAUACAGACUACAAACACACAUAAGAUAGUAUAUCAUUUUGAGGGAUUUCUUAGCAAUUGGAGGUCCAAAUUCUAUCAUAUGGAGGCCUGUUAAUACUUAUUGUUUCAUUGUGAGAAAAAAUUUGGGCUUACAUAUAACCGGAUUUUUCUUGCAAAUGAUCAACAAUGAAGGGCAUACAGGCCGGUGAAAUGGUGAAUUUUGAGUCAACCCAAGGACCAAGGAGGGAUAUGAAUUCAGCACCUAGACCUUAAAAACAAAUGCCUCCUGAGUAAUUGACUUAUUAAUUUCUUCAAUGAUGGAGUGGCAGUCACUUCUAAGAAAUAAAUACCUUGCACAUAAACAAUUAUCUUUGGUGAAAACCAAACCUACAAACUAUAAUUAGGGAGAGUAAUUGCGAGUAAAAUGAAUUUUUCAUCGUUUGCUUCGUUUUCAAACCAAGCCUGGAGACUUUGUACGGUUAUAUAUGAGCUAGCCAGUUGUUGGAGGCUACCCCUUAUCACCUCCUAUCCAUGGUAAGUUAAUAUUUUUUUUCUGAAAUAAACAUGUUACUGUUGCAUUUGAUUUGUUUUGAUAACGCUCAAUGUUUAUAUUGGAUGCUCUCCUAUUGGUCAAGUUUAACUGAUUGUCAUGAGAUAAUACUCAAGGUAGUGGAUAUGGUAUAUGUGUGGACACAAGGGCAAGAAACUCUUAAGUGGGAUUUACAUUUUUCAGAUGUCUUAUAUAUUAGUACACUAUGUAUUCAUCCUUAGUAGACACCUCGAUCCUUCCCGCUCAAAAUGGAUGUAGCGGCUCUAGCUAUGGCUUUUUAAGAUCAAUAUUUUUCUUUUGGUGUUUGUGCCAUGGUGUGUGAUUAUGAUGAAAGAAUUUUUCUAUAAGCACACUUGCUAGGGGUCACACGAUACAUUAUAGUUUUUGGAGGGACUUCCAAAUUUUGCCGCCGACUUUGACGUUUUUAUACUAAUUAUCCCAUUUAGCAACAAAUUGCCAGUUUACCACUUUUUAAGUUCUUUAGGUUACAUAUAGCUCCUCUAGUGAGGUUUACAUGAGACAAGAGUCAUGUAUAGAACAAUGCAGCACCCGGAAACAAAUAUAUAAGGCCAACUCCACCGCGCGACCCUAUCCUGUUCGGCCCCGUCCGUUUGGGGUAAAAGGGAUAAAAAAGGCGGCCCAGCGCGCGGGAGCAAACGGACUUUUGUCCGCUUUGUGUCCGCUUUCGACCCAUUCCCGGCCCAAACUUGCGCCGGUUUUGGGGUGAAACGGACACCACGCGGACGGGCGGGACGCGCGCGCUUGUCCUCCCCUGGCCCGCCUGUCGGGGACACUAGCAGUCCCUCCGCUCCCAACGCUUCACCCUCUCUCCCCGCCCCGCCCGCCCCGCCGCCGCUAUUCUCCGGCCGCCUCCUCACCGCGCAGCCCCCCCGCCGUCCAUACCAAACCACGUCUCGACAUGGCCACCACCACGCCCGCGCUUCCGCCGUAGUUUUGGUCGUCGAUCGGAGGAGGUUUGGCCGUGGCCGUCCUUGCCGGUGGUAGAGUCAGACACGACUGCCGGUGACGUACCACGGCGGCCGAGGCAGAUUCCGACGAGAGCUCCAGAGCGGCCUGUAGCCAGCCAGCGACCACCCUGCUGCGUCGAGGUGAUCAUCGCGGCCUCUUCGCCACCACGACCGCAAGGUGUUCGACCUUUUGCCAACAAAGGUAUGGACAGUGGAGACGAGUUUUUCUUCCAUCACUUCCUUUGUUCAUCGGACGAUUCGUCGUCGGAUGAUGACGAUCUUGUGGUGGCUGCACUGGUCGUUCACGACCAUAUUCAACGGCAGCUUCCUCGGUACAGGGGGUCAGUCCCUGGCCGUGCUCCCAACCUAAACCGCAACAGGGAGAGAGGCCACGCCCUGCUCUAUGCAGAUUACUUUGCCAACACCCCGCUCUUUAGGCCGGAUAAAUUUCGUCGCCAUUUUCGUAUGGCAAGGCAUGUGUUCAAUCGUAUCCGAGAGGGAGUGGUUGCUCAUGACCCAUACUUCGAGUGCAAGACGGAUGCCCUUGGCAAGCUUGGAUUCUCCUCCUAUCAGAAAUGCACCGCGGCCAUCCGCAUGCUUGCAUAUGGAAUUCCAGGCGAUCUGGUGGAUGAGUAUGUGCGUAUGAGUGAGACAACAUGUCUGAUGUCAAUGUACAAGUUUUGCCAGGCUGUGAUCGAGGUCUUUGGGCCAGAGUACUUGAGGCAGCCAACUGCCGCUGAUACAGAGAGAUUGUUGGCGACCAACGCAGCUAGAGGAUUUCCAGGUAUGCUUGGCAGCAUAGAUUGUAUGCACUGGGAGUGGAAGAACUGUCCAUUUGCUUGGCAGGGCCAGUACAAGGGGCAUGUUAACGGGUGCACUGUCAUAUUAGAAGCGGUGGCAUCACACGAUCUUUGGAUAUGGCAUUCUUUCUUCGGCAUGGCAGGUUCUCACAAUGAUAUCAACGUGCUGCAGCGUUCUCCAGUCUUCGCGAGGCUUGCAGAAGGCCACUCCCCACCUGUCAACUUUGAGAUCAACGGCCACCAUUACAACAAGGGAUACUAUUUAGCAGAUGGUAUAUAUCCUCAGUGGUCAACUUUUGUGAAGACAAUCUCGAAACCCCAAGGUGAGAAGAGAAAGAGAUUUGCCCAAAUGCAAGAGAGUGUUAGAAAGGAUGUGGAACGCGCUUUUGGUGUGCUUCAAUCCCGGUGGGGUAUCGUUCGAAACCCUGCACUGUGAUGGGAUGAAGGGAAGCUUUGGGAGGUGAUGACUGCUUGUGUGAUCAUGCACAACAUGAUCGUCGAGGACGAGCGGGAUGAGAGUAUCUUUGACGAAGGAUUUGAUUACCAAGGUGAAAAAUAUUGAGCCCCUGCACCAAGACCCGGCCACAAUUGAACAGUUUGCCCAAUUCCACCGUGAGAUGCGUGAUUGGCACACUCAUGUGAAUCUUCAAAAUGACUUGGUUGAGCACGUGUGGGAUCAUAUUGGUAACCAAUAGAUGUAUUUCUCCAUUUUAUGUUCAGUCAAGAUAAUUUCGAUUUGGUUGUAAAACUAUUUUAUUAAAGACAAUUUCAAUUGGGUUGUAAAACUAUUUUAAUUUUCAGACAAAUAUUUGGGUUUGAAAGUAGUUUUAAUGCAAAUUUGGGCAUUUCUUGGCCCUGACGGACAGGAUGAGGCAAAAGGAUGCGGCCGCGCGCUGGGCGCACGGCCACCGCAUCCCAGGACAGGCCCGGACACGACCCCAAAUCCCUACCCAAAGGGACAAAAACAGGACAAAACGGACGUUCGUUUGGGGUCGCGCGGUGGAGUUGGCCUAAGAAGAAUGAGGUGGAAGCAAUGGAUAAGGAGUAGUGUACUGUAACACGAAGUAACCCAUCAAGGCGAAGCGGUGUAUACAUACACCUGGCGAUCGUGAGAGACAAAUACUGUGUAUGCCUAAGCCAUUCAAUCUACUCAUGCAUGGGAAAAAAUGCCGAGAGUAAAACUAUGGGGUCGCAUGCAACGUGUAGCUGGCAGCCGAGACUCAUAUGACAUGAUAGAUGCUAAAUCGGGUAAAACCGAGAAACUUCGGGUAAAUGCAAUAUAACUACUCCCUCCGUUCGUUUUUAUAAGGCGUUUCAGACAGUUGGGUUUGAACUGUUUAGUACACUGUCUGAAUUUGCUAAAACGUCUUAUAUAAGUGAACAGAGGGAGUAGAAAUUUUGCUAAAUGGCGUAAUCUAGAAGAAAAACUGUUAAAUAGGGUAAUUUGUGCAUGAAAUCAAAGGUAUAUAAGGGGUAAAAACUGAAAUUCACUCUAGUUUUUUCUUUGAACGAGUAUUCAACAACUUUUUUAUUGGGCUAUUGCCCGAGUAGCGUGGUGUGUGCUGCACCUAGCCUUUAACAGGACUCAAAAUGUACCAUGUCUAACAUUUUUGGUGUGUGGUUAUGAUUGAUCCAUAAAUCUCUUUGCUCUCUGAGUAAGAUGGGUGCCACAUCUACCUUCUGCCUUUCAUACUGCAUAACAACCAUACCAUCGUAGCGCUUCAGAACUUCAUUGAUGAUUUAACUCUACUAGAUGACUCGUUGCGCCCAUGGCGCAAAAAGUGACAGCACGCCACUAAUUUAAAAUUAACUUAAUAGAUACUUAUAUCUUAUUAUUAUAUGAUACAGGAUGAAAGGAAGUCAAAAUAAGUAGGAAUAGACUGCAUGAAACAGUACAGAUCAUAUCAGUACAUGCAGUACAAAUUAGCAAGAAAAAUAAAAUUACAACUGUGCCAUUGGGACAAGAGAACCACACACUCUGGAUACCUAUACACACGCGUCACACAUGUAACAUCGGAGGUCAGCACGUGGUUGACUGUUUGUCUUGUUCCAUCCACCAGUUCACCAUCUUCGUCCCGUUCCUUCCCCCAUUCUACUCGUACUGAAGUGAUAAAGCAUCUGGUGGAGGCCGUCGCCGACACUUUGGGCUCCAUCUUGGUGGCGGCUGACGCUGCAGCUUGGCGGCAGAGCGGCUCCUGCUGCAGCUCAGAGGCGUUGCGGCUCCAUCUGCAUCUUGGUGGCCCGGCAGCUACCUCUGUAGCUUGGAGCUGUGGAACCGGCAAAUGGUGCCACUGUUGCUCAUACCGGUGAGCCAAAUCCUCAGUUGCCACCGUCGCUCCCUGCCGUAGGUGGCGUCAGUUUCGGCUGUGCCGGCACUCCCUGAAGCUGGUAACUUUUCACGGCAAGGGAUGCUCCAGCACGGCGGCCGCCGUUGCCACUCAGGUAAGAACUAACCUCCUUCAGUGUUUGAUGAAUCUGCAGAUUUUGUGUGUGAGCUCGUUGCUACUAUGCUAAUAGCCAAGUCUCGAGGGCAGUGUUGAUACUGAGCUGAGUGAUUCAAUACAGGAGCACUAAUUAGCAGCUGAGACUGCUCCAAUCAUCCAGCUGGGUAUAUUGUAUAAGAUACUUAGUUGAGUGACCGCCUUUAAAAGAGUAUCUUCUAACUAAGGGCUCCUUUGAUUCAAAGGAAUUGCAUAGGAUUUUUGGAGGAUUUAAACCCUUAGGAAUUUUUCCUGUGAUGCUCGUUUGAUUCGUAGGAUUGGCAUCCUUAGGAAUUUUUCCAUAUGAUCCAUUUGUACUACAUUUUGGAGGAAAAUUUCCAUCCACUCAAACCUCUUUGUAGAAUUCCUUUGUUUUUCCUAUGCUAUCAAACAUUCUCUGCAGGAGCAACCUGAAGCCAAAAGAACACAAAACUGUAUAAACUAAAAUAAAAACAUGUUCACAUGCCUAAUAACUUUGAAAGUCCGAGUCCUACUAUAACAGUUCAAACAAUCAAUUGUCAGAAGAGGCUAAUUAAGGUACUGGUAUAAGGUACUUUAACUUUAACUGGGCACGCAUAAUAUAGGAUUAAAGAAUUUAGAUAAGAUGCCAAGGGUUCUUCAGUCUAUGGCACUCACCUGAAGACUAAAGCCACGGUUGUCAUUGCAUAGCUCUAGACUAAAUAAUAAGAGCAUAACCAAAAGAUUUACUCCCUGCGUUCCUAAAUAUAAGUCAUUUAGACAUUUCAAAUGGACUACAACACAUGGGUGUAUGUAGACAUAUUUUAGAGUGUAGAUUCACUCAUUUUGCUCUGUAUGUAGUCACUUGUUGGAAUCUCUAGAAAAAGGCUUAUAUUUGGGAAAGGAGGGAGUAUGCAUUAGUGCAUGAACAAAUAAUAAAAAUAAGCCUAUAAUAUCCCAUGCCAUAUGCACACCAAAUGAAGGCCAAACAGAAGAUCACCAAUAAGGAAAAUAUUACUAUGUGAGUAUAAUUUUUCAGGAAAACGAUAGAAUGGUGAGAUUGAAUAAAUACAAGAUUAAGAAAGGGGAACAUGCAACAACAAAAAGCUUUCGAAAAGCAGUAGUAUUUUUACCUCUGUAACAGAGGAAGUAUAAAAAUGAGUUAGUUGGCAUUUCUUCGGAUGGCGAAUUGCCUGGGAAGAAGGAUCAGUAGGUAUAAUAAUGGUGUUACUUUCUUGCGCAAGCACCAAAACUUCGCCAAAAAGUAAAAUAUAUUGGGCGCAUUGCACCUUUAUUUUCCCUGUAAUCCUUGCCUUUGCUUCUAGACUGUAUGAUGGCGGUGCAAGCUAGCCAGCAUCUUCAGAUUAGUCCUUCAAAAAAUCACACCGAGGGUAACAGUUGGAUUGAUUGUAUCAUCCCUGUAACGCCAUUAUCAGAAAUUCAGUAGCCGCUUAAUAGUAAAUAGAAGUGUACUGCUUGCUGCUUAUCACGCUUACUUAGGACUCAUAGGCCUUAUCUAAUCCCUCUCCAAAGCAAACCAUCUAUCUAUGCCAAAUAGGCAAGAGGUAGGCAAAGAUUCUAUACACCUAAGAGUAUAUGUCAAUCUAAACUCAAGUACUGCUCACAAGAAAGCGAGCAUGAUAACACGUCGUUGCUUGCUCUAAUAAUAAAUAAGUUGUUGGUAAGGAGGGGGAGGCUAUUUUAUUUAUAAAGUUUAGUUUAGUGAUUUAGUAUAAAUAAGGACAUGUCCAAACCUGACAGGCACAACAACCUCAAAUGCAUGGGGUUGGUUUGGUUAAAUCAGGAUGAGCAGAAAUGAAACGCACCAUAUACAUUUUCCAUGCUUCAACAUAUAUCCGUGAAAAGCAUAGAACUGUUACGCAUCCUCAUAUACUCACUACAGAAAUAGAGAAUAUACUAAACUAUUUGUAUGCAUCCACAUACACUCAUUAUAAAAACAGAGUAAUGUGUGCGUGUUAUGUAAGUUAGUUGGCUACCAAUCGUACCAACCUUUCUUUAGCAUGUUUGAGAAGAAUAACACAGCAGGAUCGACCAAAGCAAUCUUUCGCUUGAGUUGCUUAUCCUUGGUCGUUUCCAGAAUCCAGGCAGAAAAUUAUGUACGUAUGUGGUGUUUCUCCAUAGAAAGGAUCUCCUCUGGCGCUGGGGGACAUUUGCAUUUAUCUACUGUCUCUCCUCGGACAGUGCCUCAUCAACAGUUGAAACCAGGUCCCCCCCUCCAAUUGUUUGUUCCGAAUGGAGAUCAUUCUCGAGAAGCACACGUUAGAAAACUGUAGGUUAGUAUGCCUAGACAUAAUUAUUCUGAAUGCAAACAGGAAAUAAAGAAGAAAGAGAAAGGACUAACUUGCUAACUGGGUGCAAUAUACAGUUAAGAGAUUGCAUAGCCUUGCAUCCCAUGACUUCAGAAAACAGGAAUAGCACUGCAGCUGAAGAUGGCUGGAAAAAAAAUCUAAGAUCAUUUACCUACUGGGUGUUCUUGUAGAAGAAUACCACUAUAUAUGCACUUGACAACCAUAGCAGUUUGGUGCAGAGUCGUGUAUUAAUAAAUGGAACAUAUUUCGAUCUUGUGGCAUUGUCAAUCUUCUACACCAAAAAAUAUUCAUGCAGGAGUUGAAUGUAGUAAAUCUAAGAAGCAGACAUAGUGGAAAAGUUAAUGAACCAUUUGUACUGCUACUUCAGAUUGGACCAAGAAUCUUAUAAAUUUAGGAAACUCGCAAACAUAAGACCACAUAUGGUCUUGCAACUUGCUCUCACUAUGGAAGCUAAAACAUCAAAAUGUAUACAAAAUCUGUUUGUGUCUCUAGCAUUACUAAAUCUGGAACACUCGGCCUAGCUGGACAGAAUGCAUACCUGUCGUAGACAAAUACUACUGGAUCACAAGUGCCAAGGAUUCCUUGUUAUUUAGCAAUGAUCUGACAUCACCUUCAGGAAUCUCUCCCAGCACAAGUUAGUCCCCUUCAAUAAAGCAAAAAUAUAUUGCAUCGGAUAUGAGCAUUGCAGAGUAGAAGCAUCCAGCAUCACCUACAAAAUACAAAUCACCAAGUAUUAGAAAAUGAUAAAUCUGAAAGUUGCAAUCAUAGUCAAAUUAAAAACAACGGAAGUUAAUGUCGCCCUAUAAUCUCUCUUCUUCUCCAUGUCAGUGAAAAAUCAACAUGUCAAGAAUAAGAGUGAGAGGCAAACGAAAGGCAAUGUGCAAUACAUCAUGAUUGGCUAAAACAUCGACUACUGCCCUCCGAUGUGCCUCCCUGUACAAAACUCAAAUCUCCAGCGGCUGCCGCACACUGAAGCGUUUAGGCCGAGUUGUGUAAGGAGUGGACUACUACAUCGUCACCAUCCCCAACAAAGGAAAGCAAAGCGACGUACCAAGUAUCCAUGGUCCACGAAAGAAGAGGCAACAUGUCCGCGCCGCCGGCCCGGCCUCGCU